CCUACGGGAGGCAGCAGUGGGGAAUCUUGCACAAUGGGGGAAAGUCUGAUGCAGCGACGCCGCGUGAGUGAAGAAGUAUUUCGGAACGUAAAGCUCUAUCAGCAGGGAAGAAAAUGAGGGUACGUGACUAAGUCGCACCGGCUUACUACGUGCCCGCAGCGGGGGGAAUACGUAGGUGGCAAGCGCUAGCCGGAUUUACUGGGUGGAAAGGGAGCGUAGAUGGCAGCGAAAGUCUGGAGGGAAAUGCCAUGGCUUAAACAUGGAACUGCUUUGGAAACUGUGCAGCUAGAGUGCAGGAGAGGUGAGCGGAAUUCCUAGUGUAGCGGUGAAAUGCGUAGAUAUUAGGAGGAACACCAGUGGCGAAGGCGGCUUACUGGACUGUAACUGACGUUGAGGCUCGAAAGCGUGGGGAGCAAACAGGAUUAGAUACCCCAGUAGUC
rnacentral:rRNA from 1 species